GAUGAACGCUGGCGGCGUGCCUAAUACAUGCAAGUCGAGCGAACGGACGAGAAGCUUGCUUCUCUGAUGUUAGCGGCGGACGGGUGAGUAACACGUGGAUAACCUACCUAUAAGACUGGGAUAACUUCGGGAAACCGGAGCUAAUACCGGAUAAUAUUUUGAACCGCAUGGUUCAAAAGUGAAAGACGGUCUUGCUGUCACUUAUAGAUGGAUCCGCGCUGCAUUAGCUAGUUGGUAAGGUAACGGCUUACCAAGGCAACGAUGCAUAGCCGACCUGAGAGGAUGAUCGGCCACACUGGAACUGAGACACGGUCCAGACUCCUACGGGAGGCAGCAGUAGGGAAUCUUCGGCAAUGGGCGAAAGCCUGACGGAGCAACGCCGCGUGAGUGAUGAAGGUCUUCGGAUCGUAAAACUCUGUUAUUAGGGAAGAACAUAUGUGUAAGUAACUGUGCACAUCUUGACGGUACCUAAUCAGAAAGCCACGGCUAACUACGUG
rnacentral:rRNA from 1 species